rnacentral:rRNA from 1 species
AUCGAGGAUUCGUCCAAGUGAAGUAGAGGACAGUGGCGGACGGGUGAGUAACGCGUGAGGAACCUGCCUUUCAGAGGGGGACAACAGUUGGAAACGACUGCUAAUACCGCAUAAGCCCACGGUACCACAUGGUACAGUGAGAAAAGGAGAAAUCCGCUGAAAGAUGGACUCGCGUCUGAUUAGAUAGUUGGUGGGGUAACGGCCUACCAAGUCGACGAUCAGUAGCCGGACUGAGAGGUUGAACGGCCACAUUGGGACUGAGAGACGGCCCAGACUCC